GGGACGGGAGUCCGAGCACACUGAUUCCCUGACGUGCGCUUUUUCACAGGGGCGCUCUUGCUUGAGCACGCGGCCCGGCCAGACGCCUCCGCCGCGGACACCUACGCGGCACAGCGGUGGUGCAGCCAGGACCUGUGCCCAGUGCACUCGGCGGAAGAAGCUGGCUGUUACGAUGCCAGGGCGGCUUCUCUGGACAGCACCUUGGUUUAUGAGAAGCCCAGUUUUGGAAGCAAGCUCUGAGGUCAGUGAAGCCGAGAAAAAUCCCCGUCGCUUCAGAAGAGCAAUGACGUUGCCGAAUCGGUGGAGCGACGCUCCACAAAGAGUCUCACGGGUGGGAAUCUUUCGGGACGCGCUCACCGAGUUUUGGGCCAACACUGGGCGUCAAAUGCGCAUAACGAAUGUAGGAAGAAAACUCGGACGCGCUAAUGUCUGGCUGGCGAUCCCAACCCGUCGCCAGAGGCUGCGGAUGUGUGUUCCUAACCUCCGUGAAUUUAGCUAGCUCUCUUUUGAACCCCGUUGCAAGUCCUGGUCUUCGCAUCAUCCUGCGGCGAGGAGUUCCACAGGUUGACCGUGCGCAGCGGGAAGAAAUGCUUCCUUUUGUUUGAAACCUGCUACUUAUUCAUUUUGUUUGGCGGCUCCUAGUUCUUAUGGGAGCAAGGAAAGAACUUUCCACUUU